rfam:TPA: Bos taurus chromosome 9, whole genome shotgun sequence.
UCCCUGGUGGUCUAGUGGGUAAGACUCCUCAGUCUCAAUGAAGGGGCCCAGGUUGGAUCCCUGGUCAGGGAA